AGGGAUUCCACUGAAGACUCCAGCUUCUCGCGUUUGUACAGUUCCUCUUCCCAUCUGUGAAGACAGUACAAAGGAAUGUUUCAUAAAGAAACAAGCCGCAUGAUGGUGACGUCACACUUUUACACCACAAAAUGAGCCUGGGAAAGAAGAAGUUGCCUUUUCUUAUCAUGGUGAGUUCAAAAAAGUUCCUUUCAUUUGAUGUCAUUUAGAUGCAAUAAAAAAGGUAAUUUCUUCUAUAUGUCAUGAUUUGCACAUUUGAAAGCAUUGCUAUUGGUCGAUUUUAAAUACAGUCAUGAAACAGUUAUUAGCAAAAAUAGAAAAAAAACAAUACUUCAUUCAUAUCACUUUUGAAUUAUGUUAUCUACAAAAGAGAAGUUAACCACUUGAGGGGACGCUGUGAGUUACCUAGUGCGCACUCGAGUUUGACAAAACACAUCCAGUAAGGUGUGUGGGGGUAAUUAUCUCCAACACACCUUUUUUAAAGUGCUUCUGAAUCAUCAACGUUUGAGGGACAGACAGACAGACCAACUAAUGGUUUAUUUACAGUCAACAAUUAUCCUUGAUUAUGGUAUGGUGUUUGACUUUCAGUUUAUACCUUUAACAUAACAUUUAAAACAUUGACAUGGACUUUAUUUGUAUUUAUUUAUUUUUUUACAUAAAACCACGGUUGUUAAUCUUU